rnacentral:rRNA from 1 species
GAUGAACGCUGGCGGCGUGCCUAAUACAUGCAAGUCGAGCGAACAGACGAGGAGCUUGCUCCUCUGACGUUAGCGGCGGACGGGUGAGUAACACGUGGAUAACCUACCUAUAAGACUGGGAUAACUUCGGGAAACCGGAGCUAAUACCGGAUAAUAUAUUGAACCGCAUGGUUCAAUAGUGAAAGACGGUUUUGCUGUCACUUAUAGAUGGAUCCGCGCCGCAUUAGCUAGUUGGUAAGGUAACGGCUUACCAAGGCAACGAUGCGUAGCCGACCUGAGAGGGUGAUCGGCCACACUGGAAUUGGGACACGGUCCAGACUCCUACGGGAGGCAGCAGUAGGGAAUCUUCCGCAAUGGGCGAAAGCUUGACGGAGCAACGCCGCGUGAUUGAUGAAGGUCUUCGGAUCGUAAAACUCUGUUAUUAGGGAAGAACAAAUGUGUAAGUAACUAUGCACGUCUUGACGGUACCUAAUCAGAAAGCCACGGCUAACUACGUG